UAUGUACAUGCUUACAAUGUUAAUGCAUCAAAUCCCAUUAGAACUUCACAGUUAAGCACGUUUUUGAUAGACUAGUACUGGGAUGAGUUACCUCUUGGGAAGUCCUAGUGUUUUACAUGC
rnacentral:rRNA from 1 species